UUUUAUUGUUACUUCUUUUACCUUCAAUAAAUUCAUUUUAUACUUAUCUACCUAUCGAAGUCCUGAUGGGGUCCUGAUGCUUGGUGAUACUUCGAUCCUGAGAAGGAGAUAUUAGCCCUCUAUCUACUUCGCUGGAUGCAUCUUUAUUUUACUUCAACUUCUUGUGAGUGCAUUCUAUAGCAGGGAAUAUUAUUUUCCAUAAACUGUAUUACGCUAUGUUCUGUUUAUUUAUUACCUUUUAGGAAGAUCAGCUGAAUCCCAGGUGUAUUGUAUAUAUUUCUAUGGCUUGUUAAGACCACUAUCUGGGAGGUGAUCUGUGG